ACUAAAAAGGCUUUAAUAAGAAGAAGAAAAAAAGAAGAAAUUGAAAAGUUUCACUAAUUUUCAACAAUAAAUUAAAGAAAUACCAAAGGACGCAAGCUCUGUGCACAAUUCCCCCACUGAUUAGCACAACGCAAUGAUGACUGACAACAAAAGCUACGACUCCAGCAACGACAGCGAGUCGGAGGAGCGUCGGGCCAAGCACAAGAAGGCCAAAAAGCACAAGAAACACAAGAAAUCCUCAUCCGGCAAGGGCGAGAAAGACAGACAUGCCCACAAGAAGCACAAGAAGGCGAAAAAGCGCCCCCACCGCGCAAGCGAGUCCUCGAACGACUCGGAUGCGAUGGAAAACGCCAAGGCCAAGCUGGCGAAGAAUUCUGGGCUGAGCAGCAAAUUCACAGAGAUCAUGCAGAAGGCCAGUCGCAACGGGGCCGACUUUCGCAUCGCCAAGCCCCUGUUGCCGACGGACCCAUGUAGCCUGGUGGAGGAGAUCACCAAGACUAUUCAGAACAAGGUGCUGCCCGUCCUGGAGGUAGCCAGUUCGGGUAGCGAAAGCGAUGUACCAGCCGAUGUGGCCAGUCCGAUCAUUGCGUCCAUUAUUGAGGACGAGCUGAACUUGGAGGAUCUGAUGAGACAGAAGGCCAUGCUGCAGGCUCGCCUGGGCGCCUAUAUGUCGGACCCAGAGGCCGACGACAGAGGCGAGCCACAUCCUAACUCACAUCCGCAGCAGGAAGUUGCGCAGACCAAGCCAAUGCCCAAGGUGCCCGCUUCCGCACCGCAAUCCCAGCCACAGGCGAUGGCCGCCAGCAAGUCUGCAGCGCCGCUGGCUACUGCAACCAGUAAACAUGCUAAUAUUAAACAGUCUAGCACGCAUAACUCAAAUGAAUCCGAUGUUAUAUUGUUGGAUGAUUCUAGCGGAGGCCAGCGAACCCCCUCGCCCACGCCCGAGAAGCGGAGACGCCACGCAUCCCCGCUCCCAGCAGGCCCGAGAAGCCGAGCCCGCGAUGACCCGCUCCAUGGACGAAAGGAACGGCGGUCGAGAGAACGCGAACGCACACCCUCACGUCGUCGGGCAGCAGAGCAGCAGACACAGGCACGGCCACGCAGCCGCAACCGAAACAUGGAGGACUUGCGACAGGAGAUCAACCGCGACAAGCAAAGGGAGAGACGCGACCAUAGCCGAGACCGGGAUCGGCGUGGGGCGGAGAGGCCACCGCCCACCGAUGUGCGAACAGGUCGUGGCCGAGAGCGGGACGUUCGACCCAAUCGCAGCCAGCGCUCGCACAGCCGCAGUAAGUUUGAGUCGGACAGGCGUCGAGAGCGGGAGCGGCAAAAGGACCGGGAUCGUGGAGGCUUUGACCGUGGUGGUGGGCGCGGUGGAGCACGUGGUGGCGCAGACAACGGGGACCGCGAUCGGUACAAGGGUUCGCUGAGCGAGGGGCAAAAGAAGCACGACAAAGAGAGCAGUGACGAGGAGGCCAACAUCCUGGACAUUGACAUUGACGAGGACGAAGAUGACGAAGAGCGUAUCAUUGAGCAGCGUCGAAAGAAGCGUGAGGAGCUACUCAAGAAACUGGGGACUGGGCAGGAAUCACCAACGCCUCAAAACUCCAUUAGGUACGAGUCUCGAAGCACUUCGCCAGGGUCAUCUCAACGCGAUAGGCCCCAUAGGACGCCGACACCCACUCUGCCCAGCUCGGAUCCGCCUAGCUCCGAAAUGCCGAAGGAGAACCAGCAGCUGGACAGCUCGAAUAGCCAAAAAAACAGCUCCGUCAAGGAAAAAAGAAACGAAUGGGAUAUGUUCGCUGACCAAGAUGUGGAUUCAAAUUUCGAUUCACCCAACACCAUCGUACAAAAUAAGCACCAACACGAAAAUCCUGCCCUCACCGACAACUGGGACGAUGCAGAGGGCUAUUACCGAGUUCGAAUCGGCGAGGUUCUGGACAAUCGCUACUUGGUAAACGGAUACACGGGCCAGGGUGUCUUCAGCAAUGUCGUGCGUGGCAGGGACCAAGCUCGGGGACAGGCUAAUGUAGCCAUUAAGAUCAUACGCAACAACGAAAUAAUGCACAAAACUGGCUUGCGAGAACUGGAAAUUCUAAAGAAACUUAACGAUGCUGAUCCGGAAGAUCGAUUCCACUGCCUGCGUUUGUACCGCCACUUUUUUCACAAGCAGCAUCUCUGUAUGGUGUUCGAGCCUUUGGCAAUGAAUUUACGUGAAGUUCUUAAGAAAUAUGGCAAGAAUGUUGGCCUCCACAUCAAAGCAGUGCGGAGCUAUACACAGCAACUGUUUUUGGCACUCAAGUUGCUAAAAAAGACGGGCAUUUUGCAUGCGGAUAUUAAGCCAGAUAACAUUUUGGUCAACGAAAAUAAUCUGAUACUGAAGUUGUGCGAUUUUGGGUCUGCCUCGGCAAUCAGCGACAACGAAAUAACACCGUACUUGGUGUCGCGGUUCUACCGCUCACCAGAGAUUAUUUUGGGUAUUCCUUACGAUUAUGGAAUUGAUACAUGGUCCGCUGGCUGCACAAUCUACGAACUGUACACGGGUAAGAUUCUGUUCAGCGGCAAGAGCAACAACCAGAUGCUCAAGUUUUUCAUGGACGUGAAGGGCAAGAUACCAAACCGAAUCGUCAGAAAGGGUCAGUUUAAGGAGCAGCAUUUUGAUCAGAGCUGCAACUUCUUGUACCACGAGAUAGAUAAGCUCACCGAAAGGGAAAAAAUUGUUGUGAUGCCGGUGGUAAAACCUUCGCGUAGCUUGCAGCAGGAACUAAUCGCUGACCAAAACCUGCCAGAUGAUCAGCAUCGCAAGGUCACACAGCUGAAGGAUUUGCUGGAGAACAUGUUUGCCCUGGAUCCAGCCAAGCGGAUAUCCCUCAACCAGGCACUAGUUCAUCCCUUCAUUCAGGAGAAGAUGUAGAGCAGUCUUAGAAAUCAAUGAAACUAUGCCGCUUGUUACGGAAGAGCGUUCCUUGGCCUUAUGGCUGACUUAACUGUUUGGGCUGUCAUCAAUUUUCUUCUACGGCUUCCCAGUGCUUCUGCCUGCUGUAGUUCGUGAGAAGAUUAAGUAAAAGCGUUCACGAACUUGAUAACGGGCUUUCGCUCUGUCCAAGUAAGUUGUGCUGCGGCCCACAGGUGAGUUACAUUUUUUAUUAAUACACAAUGACAGCCCACUCAGUCCAACUCAUCGGUGGGCACCGGCAGCUCCAGAGCUGCCUGCAGAGUCUCGCUUAAGCAAAGGCUGUGAAGUUCCGGGGGCUGCAGCUCGCUUUUGAGCAAGCACUUGACUUUCUUGGGCUUCCAGUUGUUGUGCGCAUAGGGAUCCCGCAGCAGACCGAAGGCGCACUCGAAGACACCGACGCAGCUAUCGCAAGUGUGCAAAGUGCCGCAGCAGAGUACCACCACCUGCCCGUAAGAAUCCAUUCGGCCCUGAAUCCCGGCGUGCGUCAAGUUCGGAUUGAAGUGGAAGCCAAACUGUUCCUUGGUGCUCGUUAGUGCCGACAGCACUUCAGCAGCCGUCGUGCACUCCAACUCGUUGAUUCCAUCGCUGGCCAUAAUGGUAAGGUGCAGUGCCGCAUCGGUCCACAGGUCCACCAGGCUCAGGCUGUUUGAAUUGAAGCGCUCGAAGAACCACUCACCGAAUUUCUUCGCAAUGGCGUGAAUGGGGUAAUCCUCUUCGCUCAGCUUGUAAGCCGAGACAACGGCGGUUUGGCCACUACAAAGCAAUCUCUUCGACUCCUGAUCCUCUUCCCAGUACUGAAUCACCUUCGUUAUAAGGUCUGCCUUGGUAAAAUCUGUGGUAGAUUCCGGUUGUCGGCUGUGCAGAUACGUGAAGAGGAGCUCUUUGGUUAUCGCCCGCUUGGAGAGCAGGAUGUAAAUAUCUGGGAUGUAAGUAGAGAGCAGUCGGAGGGCUUCUGCAAAAUAAAAACACACAUCAUUGCUAAAGUAGAGUACAUAUGUAUGUGAUUUUAACACCGACCCUCUGGAUCCUCAGGUUUGCACACAUUUUUCGUGGUGCCUUUGGCCAACUGGAUCAGAACGUGGGUGUUCUUCUCGUUCACAAGUAAGUCCCGGAGACCCCUCUUAUGGAUCUCCGAGAUCGGCAUGGCUACAAUAAUAUGUAGUUGCCUUGGCGGGACUUGGUUUUUGUUAUUCUUCCCAACUUCGAGUUCCGACCAGCUGAUGCCCUACGACUACGGUCACACUUUUCAGUGUUGCCACACCUGGCAGGGGGACAUAUUGCGGUGUGAAUGUCCGUUCAUGGGCAGAACGGAUCAGCGAAGAAACAUUUCUAGGUUCACCGGCUUUCUAUUUAUUUCAAUAAUCAGAUGUAUAAAUCCAAUAAAAGAAUAUUGUUUGAUUAGUCUUAAAAUAAAUAUAUUUGGGUGCCAGU